rnacentral:rRNA from 1 species
AUAUUGGACAAUGGGCGGAAGCCUGAUCCAGCAACGCCGCGUGAGGGAUGACGGCCUUCGGGUUGUAAACCUCUUUCGGUGGGGACGAAGCGCAAGUGACGGUACCCACUAAAGAAGCACCGGCCAACUACGUGCCAGCAGCCGCGGUAAUACGUAGGGUGCGAGCGUUGUCCGGAAUUAUUGGGCGUAAAGGGCUCGUAGGCGGUUUGUCGCGUCGGGAGUGAAAACGCCGUGCUUAACACGGCGCUUGCUUUCGAUACGGGCAGACUAGAGGUAUUCAGGGGAGAACGGAAUUCCUGGUGUAGCGGUGAAAUGCGCAGAUAUCAGGAGGAACACCGGUGGCGAAGGCGGUUCUCUGGGCCGGUACUGACACUGAGGAGCGAAAGCGUGGGUAGCAAAC